rnacentral:lncRNA from 1 species
UGUGCCGACCGAGCCACCCGUAUGCUUGAUCGGAUCCUGUUGGAUGACUCAAUUCUAUCGGACCCUCUGUCGCUUAUCGGAGUACUCCUCACUGCUCCACUGAUCGUAGAGGACCUACCAUAUGUCCAUCCAUAUCCAGUGAUCUAUGAAGGACCUCUAGUCUGAUGGUGGCUGAAAAUCGAUGUGCUGGAUGGCAGACUAUCUGAGGCUGUAGAGGCCAUCUCGAAACCUCCAUGUGACCACCUUCUCAAAGGUCCGACAGCUAGCCUCCUCAUCUUAGGGAGUCUUAAAUCGAUAGUACUCCUGCA